UACGAAGGGGGCUAGCGUUGCUCGGAAUCACUGGGCGUAAAGGGUGCGUAGGCGGUUCUGUAAGUCAGUGGUGAAAUACUCCAGCUUAACUGGAGGGGUGCCAAUGAUACUGCAGAACUUGAGUAUAGAUGAGGUAGGCGGAAUUGACGGUGUAGCGGUGAAAUGCAUAGAUAUCGUCAAGAACACCUAUAGCGAAGGCAGCUUACUGGGCUGUAACUGACGCUGACAGCGCGAAAGCUAGGGGAGCGAACGGG
rnacentral:rRNA from 1 species